CCCGGCGACCGGCGCACGGUGAGUAACACGUAUGCAACCUGGCCGCCACAGGGGGAUAACCCGCGGAAACGCGGCCUAAUACCCCGUGACGCCACCGGAGGGCAUCCUCCGGUGGCCAAAGGAGCGAUCCGGUGGCGGAUGGGCAUGCGGCGCAUUAGCUAGACGGCGGGGUGACGGCUCACCGUGGCGACGAUGCGUAGGGGUUCUGAGAGGAAGGCCCCCCACACUGGGACUGAGACACGGCCCAGACUCCUACGGGAGGCAGCAG
rnacentral:rRNA from 1 species